ACGUGGAAUGGCGUGUCAUUUAGCGCUACCAAUUUAGGCUUACCUACCUAUAGUAAAAAAACAUUCAUCGGUUCUGCAUUAUUGGUCCUGAUGUAGAACCAGCCUCAGAACAUCAGUUCCUCAUGUUUGAUUGCUAGUUCAUUGAUUUGCUGCUGCCACAAGCCUAACUACUUUCUGAUCUUCCACUUGGCCUCAGGGUGCGCACUGCACACAUUGUGCAGAGCACAACCGGAAAAUAGAGGAGCUUGAGCAAUGAGCAUGCAAAUGCCCGCCUGACAAAGAAGCUUCGCAGAGCCAAACAGAAGUGUGUCAUGCCCAACAUGGUGGAUCAAAUGGCAAAUCUAAUCCAGACUGCCUCCAACCCGAACGCUGCUGCUGUUACAGCAGCACCAAUGAGCAGGUGCAACAAGUGGGCCGAAUACCAGACAACAGGACGCUCAUCCAGGAAAGUGUUGGCAG